GUACAGCAUGAUGAUCACUGUCAACAUCUGCAAGAAAUGACACGGGAAUAUGAUGAGUCACCUAAUUUCAAAAUCCCACUUUGGUACCAGAACAGAAACUUCACCGUGCUGGAAGAGUACUCCUAUAGACCAGGCUUCGCCCCUGGCCAAUUCACGUCAUUCAGAAAAUGGUCCUUUUGAAUAUAUUCCUCCUUCACUGUGGGAGAUUAUGCUGAUAAUAAAUGUUCCCUCUCCAAUUCUUGAAUGUGAGUAAGACUUUUCAAGAAAAGGACUUUAAAACCAGGCCAAUGUGUUGUUCAGCUUGGUCGGUAUGGCCUUGCUCCUACCACGUAUGGAAUCUUGCUCAGAAGAAUGGCGCUUGAAAGACAGGAUUUGAAGAAAGACUGCAGUCAUAAUUUUUUCUCACUUCCUCAGCAAUAAGAUGACAUUGUUAAAAAACUCAUUCAAAACAUGUGCUUUUCAAAGUCUGUUGUAGUGGGUGGAAUCACCCAGCUGUAUUGAUGUGGCAGGAUAUUAGAAAAGAAAAUUAAAAUAUUUUUCUAAAGGAUUGGAUUGCAGUAGGAAUUUAACAUUAAUUUUUAAGAGGUGACAUAAUUAUUAUUCUUUCUGUAUUGCAGUGCUACUUGAACUCCUAACAGAUGGCCAAUAAUUUGGCCUCCAAUUUAUUUUGAGAUCAUUGAGGAUUUGUGGCAGAUCUCACAGUAGUUUUUUUGUUGUGUUUUGUUUCAGGUUCACCUCUUAUUUGCAUAGUCAAUACCAGGAUAUCAAUAACUGCUCUGAUCCACAGAACAAGAAGAAGCUAGUAAAGAAGUUCUGAUGAAGUAGCUUUAUUUACCUAGCAUUCAAGAGAGCUAAAUGCUUCAGAAGAGAGAAAGAUUCACAUAAUAUAUUUGACUAGAUUUCUGUGAAUCAGCACAGAGAACUGAUUGUUUCUCAGGAUGGUCUAAAAUAACCAAUCUAUCUGACUUGUCUCUAGUAUUAUCUAGACAGAUUCUUUCCUGAGGCAGUAAUGUCCAAGUGUGGUUUAUAGACCAGUCUGGCUAUCCAGACAGAUAUUUAUUCUCCUGGAUAAUAUAGAAGAAGACCUAUCUUCUCUAUUCAACUAAACCUCUGCACUGUUAGACUCUGUCCAAAACUCUUUAUGGCUUCAUCAGAUGGAGAUGUGAAAACACUCAGCUUUGAUCAAGCAGUUCCUCCCACUAAGGCCAUUGACAUCAAACUAAACCUCUGAAGGAGGAGCUUCUGAAAAAAGCAUGUAUCUUGUUGUGCUCUGGGCUAUAACAGCAGAUACUGUAGGUAGUUAUCAAUUUAUAUCGGUUUAGUAUUUGCAUUCUAAUAGCAUCCAAAAUAUGUCCAGCUGUGCAAUACCUCCAUGAAGUAAAGGUUGAAAGACUUAUUUCCCAUUUCAGGCAUUGGCUUAGUACCAUCAGAAUUUCCCACUAAGCCCUUGUUUCAAAGAGUUAUCUUCUGCUGUAACAGUAGAAAAUUUACUCACUAUGUAUAAAAAGCCUGUAGUAUGUUGACAAACUGUAUUAUGAAUUGCAAUUUUUUUCAAAUUAUUUUUUUAUUCUGACAGUGUGGUUAGGCUCUAUUGUUUAUGCAUUUUAAUGAAUAAAGAACUGGCAAUAAAAUUCUAUCA
ensembl:lncRNA